rnacentral:rRNA from 1 species
GACGAACCGAGCGAACGUUGUUCGGAAUCACUGGGCUUAAAGGGCGCGUAGGCGGGUGCUCAAGUCCGUGGUGAAAUCCUCCGGCUCAACCGGAGAACUGCCUCGGAUACUGGGUGCCUCGAGGGUGGUAGGGGUAUGCGGAACUAUCGGUGGAGCGGUGAAAUGCGUUGAUAUCGAUAGGAACUCCGGUGGCGAAGGCGGCAUACUGGACCACCUCUGACGCUGAGGCGCGAAAGCCAGGGGGGAGCAAACGGG